GUGGGGAAUCUUCCGCAAUGGGCGAAAGCCUGACGGAGCAACGCCGCGUGAGUGAUGAAGGCCUUCGGGCUGUAAAACUCUGUUGUCAGGGACGAAGGUGCAUCUUUCGAACAGAUGGGUGUAUUGACGGUACCUGACGAGGAAGCCACGGCUAACUACGUGCCAGCAGCCGCGGUAAUACGUAGGUGGCAAGCGUUGUCCGGAAUUAUUGGGCGUAAAGAGCAUGUAGGCGGGCUUUUAAGUCCGGCGUGAAAAUGCGGGGCUCAACCCCGUAUGGCGUUGGAAACUGGAAGUCUUGAGUGCAGGAGAGGAAAGGGGAAUUCCCAGUGUAGCGGUGAAAUGCGUAGAUAUUGGGAGGAACACCAGUGGCGAAGGCGCCUUUCUGGACUGUGUCUGACGCUCAGAUGCGAAAGCCAGGGUAGCAAACGGGAUUAGAUACCCGAGUAGUCC
rnacentral:rRNA from 1 species